rnacentral:lncRNA from 1 species
UCCUCUCUCACGAUCUCUAUAAACUGAGGAAAAAUUAAGCAAAUUGUCAGAAAAUUGGUGAUAUAGAAGAAGAAGCAUGGGUUUGACUUACUCUCCAAGGCAGCCAUAUCUAUAAGGUUAGGUCUAUCUUCUCCAUAGAUAUCUUGAGCCACAAGGUUCCUCAUCCAAUUAGGGUAAUUCCACAAUGUCAAGGCACCACAAGAUUGGUGUCCCAUUGAAACUAGUAACUGCUCAAACCCGAUCCUUGAGUCCGUUUUUCCUCCUUCCUUCCCAAUUAGUUUUGUCAUCGGUACCCUGUUAAAAACAUCUUUCUAGGUUAACAAAAACCACACUCGGAUCCGCCAAUGAACCAAACAUUGUAUGUGUCUUACUCUCGUUCUAUUGCAGGGUUUUCUUUGUCUACAUUCUCAGGUCUCAUGUCUCGGAGGAUGAGUGUGUCUGGAAGCAGACAAUGCAUUCUGUAGACACUAACGAACUCUUCGGUCAACGAAUAAGGAACUCCAUGAUCUCUCGGUUUCUUCAGACCAACUAAUCCGCUAAGUAUUGGUCCAAAUCUUGCCCCAAUCUUGUCCUUCACUUUCUUCCCUAAAAAUCCAUACCAGUUGAUCCUCAUUCCUGCAGUAAGUGUGUCUGUCUUCAAGAGUUCUAAUGUCCAAUGAGGAAAAAUUAAGCAAAUUGUCAGAAAAUUGGUGAUAUAGAAGAAGAAGCAUGGGUUUGACUUACUCUCCAAGGCAGCCAUAUCUAUAAGGUUAGGUCUAUCUUCUCCAUAGAUAUCUUGAGCCACAAGGUUCCUCAUCCAAUUAGGGUAAUUCCACAAUGUCAAGGCACCACAAGAUUGGUGUCCCAUUGAAACUAGUAACUGCUCAAACCCGAUCCUUGAGUCCGUUUUUCCUCCUUCCUUCCCAAUUAGUU